rnacentral:rRNA from 1 species
CCUACGGGGGGCAGCAGUGAGGAAUAUUGGUCAAUGGGAGAGAUCCUGAACCAGCCAAGCCGCGUGAGGGAAGGCGGCCCUAUGGGUUGUAAACCUCUUUUGUCGGGGAACAAAACCCGGGACGUGUCCCGGACUGCGUGUAUCCGAAGAAAAAGCAUCGGCUAACUCCGUGCCAGCAGCCGCGGUAAUACGGAGGAUGCGAGCGUUAUCCGGAUUUAUUGGGUUUAAAGGGUGCGUAGGCGGUCCGUUAAGUCAGCGGUAAAAUGGCGGGGCUCAACCCCGGCGAGCCGUUGAAACUGGCAGACUUGAGUUGGCGAGAAGUACGCGGAAUGCGCGGUGUAGCGGUGAAAUGCAUAGAUAUCGCGCAGAACUCCGAUUGCGAAGGCAGCUUACCAAUCUAUAUCUGACGUUGAGGCACGAAAGCGUGGGGAGCAAACAGGAUUAGAUACCCCGGUAGUC